UGGGGCGUAGCCAAGCGGUAAGGCAUUGGUUUUUGGUAUCAUGAUCCCUGGUUCGAAUCCAGGCGCCCCAG
rnacentral:tRNA from 1 species